GCUCGAGUGCUUCCACCGAAGAGUGAGUAUAUAAUGAUACUAUUAUUGUUUAAUUGUAUGAUUUGCGUGAUUAUAAUACCUUCAAAAGAAGUGAUUUCUCAUACAAUUUUCAUAAUUUCCUUUGUGGGCAUAUAGAAGAUGCCUUUUUGGAGAUUAUAUUUAUUGCUUGCUACUUUUUUUUUUCUUUUGCCAUUUCUAGUUAGAUUGUUUUUAGCACAAAAACACAGAAGACUUACUGUUGCUUUUGGAGCUAGAAGCUUGUCAUUUAUUAACGAGGCAUUCUAUAAGGUCUAUGAAAUUGAUAGCAAAUACUGCAUGUUCUGCAUAUAAUGAAGCCCUGAUGGUAUUUGCCAAAAAAAAAAAGCC
rnacentral:misc_RNA from 1 species